rnacentral:rRNA from 1 species
CUUUACUGCAACUUGACGUUGGAACUUGGCUGUAUUUGUGUAGGAUAGGUGGGAGACUUUGAAGCAGGGCCGCCAGGUCUUGCGGAGUCGUCGUUGAGAUACCACCCUGGUGCUGACGAGUUUCUAACCGUGUCCGUAAGCCGGACAUGAGACAGCGUCUGGUGGGCAGUUUGACUGGGGCGGUCGCCUCCUAAAAGGUAACGGAGGCAUUCAAAGGUCCCCUCAGCGUGGUCGGUAAUCACGCGCAGAGUGCAAACGCAUAAGGGGGCUUAACUGCGAGACCGACGGGUCGAGCAGGUACGAAAGUAGGAGUUAGUGAUCCCGCGGUUUAGCGUGGAAUUGCCGUUGCUCAAUGGAUAAAAGGUA